GGGGUUCCACGGGGGUCCCUGGGGGUCCCAAAGGGGGGACGCGGCCCCCCCGCGAUCCUCCAGGGGGCGCAGCGGGACCCCAACACUGCCACUGCCACCCGCUCCGCCCCCAAGCUGCCUCAGUUUCCCCUCAGGAUGGGCCGGCACUGGGAUGGGCUGGGAAUGGGAUAAACUGGGACUGGGAUUGGGCUGAUACUGGGAUAGACUGGGACCGGGAUGGGGCAGGACUGGGAUCGACUGGCACUGGGAUAAACUGGCACUGGGAUAAACUGGCACUGGGAUGUUCCAUCACUGUCACCAACUCUGGGAUGCUGCGGCACUGGGAUGAUCCAACCCUGAUCCAGCACUGGGAUGAUCCAGAACUGGGAUGAUCCAGGACUGGGAUGAUCCAACACUGAUCCAGGACUGGGUCGCUCUGGGACCAGGAGGCUCCGGCACCAGGAAGCUCCGAUACCAGAAUGUUCCGGAAUGUUCCGCCGUGGGGACGCUCUGAUCCUGGGAUGAUCCCACAGCAGGAGGCUCCAACACCAGGAAAAUCCCAGGCGGGGCUGCUCGGAUACGGGAACGCUCCAGCACCGGGAGCAGCAGGAUGUUCCCAUUCCGGAAUGUUCCACCCUGGGGAUGCUCCGAGGUCAGAGGGAUCCAGCACCGGAACGUUCCGACACCAGAACAUUCCAUCAGAUGCUCCGACAUUGGAAUGAUCCAAUCCUGGAAUGCCCCGACCAUGGGAUGCUUCAGCACCGGAAUGCCCUGACCCAGGAGGUCCCAAAUCUGGGAUGUCCCCAAUCUGGGAUGUCCCCAAAUCCAGAAUGUCCCAAAUCCGGGAUGUCCCCAAAUCUGGGAUGUCCUCAAAUCUGGGAUUCCCAAAUCCAGGAUGUCCCAAAUCCAAGAUGUCCCCAAAUCUGGGAUGUCCCAAAUCCAGGAUGUCACAAAUCCAAGAUGUCCCAAUUCCAGGAUGUCCCAAAUCCGGGAUGUCCCCAAAUCCAGGAUGUCCCCAUUCCCAGAUGUCCCCACACCGGGAUGUCCCCAUCAGGAGCCGGAUGGACACGGAGCGGCCGAUCCCAGGAAUUCCUGGGAAUUCCAAACCAGCCAAAUCCAGAGGACACCCGGAGCAGGGACAGGGACAGGGACAGGGACAGGGACACGGACACGGACAGGGACAGGGACACGCAGCUCUGGCUCUGCCUGGCCCCGAAUCCCAAAUUAUCCCAAAUUAUCCCAAAUAAUCCCAAAUUAUCCCAAAUAAUUCCAA
rnacentral:lncRNA from 1 species